UGGGGGAUUUUGGACAAUGGGGGCAACCCUGAUCCAGCCAUUCCGCGUGAGUGAAGAAGGCCUUCGGGUUGUAAAGCUCUUUCGGCAGGAACGAAACGGCGAGCUCUAACAUAGCUUGCUAAUGACGGUACCUGAAGAAGAAGCACCGGCUAACUACGUGCCAGCAGCCGCGGUAAUACGUAGGGUGCGAGCGUUAAUCGGAAUUACUGGGCGUAAAGCGUGCGCAGGCGGUUUAGUAAGACAGGCGUGAAAUCCCCGGGCUCAACCUGGGAACUGCGCUUGUGACUGCUAAGCUAGAGUACGGCAGAGGGGGGUGGAAUUCCACGUGUGGCAGUGAAAUGCGUAGAGAUGUGGAGGAACACCAAUGGCGAAGGCAGCCCCCUGGGUCGAUACUGACGCUCAUGCACGAGAGCGUGGGUAGCAAACA
rnacentral:rRNA from 1 species